AUUGAACGCUGGCGGCAGGCUUAACACAUGCAAGUCGAACGGAGAGAGGUAGCUUGCUACUGAUCUUAGCGGCGGACGGGUGAGUAAUGCUUAGGAAUCUGCCUAUUAGUGGGGGACAACAUUUCGAAAGGAAUGCUAAUACCGCAUACGUCCUACGGGAGAAAGCAGGGGAUCUUCGGACCUUGCGCUAAUAGAUGAGCCUAAGUCGGAUUAGCUAGUUGGUGGGGUAAAGGCCUACCAAGGCGACGAUCUGUAGCGGGUCUGAGAGGAUGAUCCGCCACACUGGGACUGAGACACGGCCCAGACUCCUACGGGAGGCAGCAGUGGGGAAUAUUGGACAAUGGGCGGAAGCCUGAUCCAGCCAUGCCGCGUGUGUGAAGAAGGCCUUAUGGUUGUAAAGCACUUUAAGCGAGGAGGAGGCUACCUAGAUUAAUACUCUAGGAUGGUGGACGUUACUCGCAGAAUAAGCACCGGCUAACUCUGUGCCAGCCGCCGCAGUAAAAC
rnacentral:rRNA from 1 species